UACGUAGGGUGCAAGCGUUAAUCGGAAUUACUGGGCGUAAAGCGUGCGCAGGCGGUUCACUAAGCCCGGCGUGAAAGCCCCCGGCUCAACCGGGGAGGGUCGUCGGGGACUGGUGAACUUGAGGGCGGCAGGGGCUGGUGGAAUCCCCGGUGUAGUGGUGAAAUGCGUAGAGAUCGGGGGGAACACCCGUGGCGAAGGCGGCCAGCUGGGCCGUCCCUGACACUGAGGCGCGAAGGCGUGGGGAGCGAACGGG
rnacentral:rRNA from 1 species